UACGUAGGGGGCAAGCGUUGUCCGGAAUCAUUGGGCGUAAAGCGCGUGUAGGCGGCCCGAUAAGUCCGCUGUGAAAGUCCAGGGCUCAACCCUGGGAUGCCGGUGGAUACUGUCGGGCUCGAGUCCGGAAGAGGCGAGUGGAAUUCCGUGGUGUAGCGGUGAAAUGACGCAGAUAUCAGGAGGAACACCAAUGGCGAAGGCAGCUCGCUGGGACGUGACUGACGCUGAGACGCGAAAGCGUGGGGAGCAAACAGG
rnacentral:rRNA from 1 species